rnacentral:lncRNA from 10 species
CAGCUCACUGCAGCCUCGACCUCCUGAGCUCAAGCGAACUUCCUGCCUCAGCCUCCUGAGCUUCCUGAGUAGCUGCGACUACAGGCACGUGCCACCAUGUCCGGUUAUUUUUGUAUUUUUUGUAGAGAGUGUCUCGCCAUGUUGCCCAGGCUGGUUUCGAACUCCUGGGCUCAAUCAGUCUGCUGCCUCGGCCUCCCAAAG